AUCCAGCUGACGAAUCUCAAAAAGAACGAAAUACGUGUCCUGGAU
rfam:Schistosoma mansoni strain Puerto Rico chromosome 1, complete genome